GAUAAACGCUGGCGGCGUGCUUAACACAUGCAAGUCGAACGAAGUUUUUCCUUCGGGAGAAACUUAGUGGCGGACGGGUGAGUAACGCGUGGGUAACCUGCCCUGUACAGGGGGACAACAGCUGGAAACGGCUGCUAAUACCGCAUAAGCACUUAGCACUGCAUGGUGCAUAGGGAAAAGGAGCAAUCCGGUACAGGAUGGACCCGCGUCUGAUUAGCCAGUUGGCAGGGUAACGGCCUACCAAAGCGACGAUCAGUAGCCGAUCUGAGAGGAUGUACGGCCACAUUGGGACUGAGACACGGCCCAGACUCCUACGGGAGGCAGCAGUGGGGAAUAUUGCACAAUGGAGGAAACUCUGAUGCAGCGACGCCGCGUGAGUGAAGAAGUACUUCGGUAUGUAAAGCUCUAUCAGCAGGGAAGAAAAUGACGGUACCUGACUAAGAAGCACCGGCUAAAUACGUG
rnacentral:rRNA from 1 species